CAGCGCUGGAGGGCAGUGUGCCAGGUGUGCAGCCUCGCCGGCCUCCCGGCGGGGCAUGGCCAAAACUCAGUCUCCCCGUCUGGGCAGUGGGGUGACGGGCACUGCCUCGGGGACACAGAGGAAGGCGAGGAGAAGUGGCCGGGGCGCAGGGCUGACAAGGGCCCCCGGGCCGCCACAGGCCGAGGUCAGCGAGGCCGCCCCGUGGGUGGGCGCGUGGGCGGGCGGCGGUCGGCGGCUCCCCAUGCCCUGGGCGCACCCCUCCCCGGGAACCGGGACGGACAAUGCCCGUGGGGAGGCACCCCGUGUUUGCACAGGCCACCCCGGAAUGCGGUGGGACAGGCCCCGGGGGCCCCUGAGUCAGCACCCCCUUCCAGGCCAGGAGGGGGAGGGCCAGCCCUGGCAGGUGGCACUGGUCCUGGGGUGACCGGCACAGGGCACGUCGGGGGUCCAGGGUGGUGGGUGGGUGGGCUCCGCCGCUGGAGCCCCGGGUUGGGGCUCGCCCCAGGUCAGGGCUCAUUCACCUUCUCAUCUCUCUCGCUGCUGCCCCUGUUGCCCCCACCCUACUGGGUGCUGGCUCCAUCCCGCGGGGCCUCAUAUGGGGCAGCCAGGAGCCCCCUGCGUCACAUUCAUUCCUGCCACCAGCUCUGUGAUGUCCCUGCCUGGACAAGGACACAGCAUGAACGUGCCCAGGCCCCGGCCCCACACCCAGCACUCACCCUGUCCCUUGGAAAGCCUCCGGCCACCCUCAGACCGAUCCCCCGUCCCCCAUCCCCCCUCUCCACACCCCAGGGGCCAGCCCUGUCCCCCCACAACGUCCGUCUACCUCCACUCUUCCUGCCAGGAGCCCUCGCCCACUGGGCAGCCGUAGGGGCCCCUCCCUCUCGGGCUCCAGUCCCGCUGUGGCUCCCUAGUGCCCUCUCCUUCCAGGCCCCGCCCCACCCUCUGGCCUUGGCUCCUUCACCUUCCAUUUCCCUGAGCUCCACCUCCCAGUCACCACACUUCUCGUCUGUCCCCUGGUCACCCGCGAGUGUCACUGCCCCCCAGACCCACCCCACCGAGCUCAGGGUCCUGUGGGGCCCACUCAGAGCCCUCUGGAUCUCGGCCUGGUGCCCAGCAGUGGGGGGUGGGAGGCUGAGGUGCUGGCCCCUGGCUCCCAAGGACGGGGUGGGGGGCGGGGGGCCAUGGGUCAGAUGGCCUCUGUUCCCCUCCCCCCUUCCUGCUACUUCCCGCUGCUAG
rnacentral:lncRNA from 12 species